ensembl:lncRNA novel transcript
GCUUAACUGGUACAUCUGGACUCUGAUGAGUGAGAAGUCCAAGCAAAUAGAAAAGCCACAGCCAAACGAUAAAACUCUGCAAAGACAAUGUCUAGCACUUAUAUCUCCAGUAACUCCUGUCAAGGUUUAUUGUUGCUUGUUCAUCAUUGCAGUCCUGACUACAAGUGUGAUUGCACUUUCUAUUGUUUUGUCAGAAUUUCCUGAAAAGAUACAAAGGCCCUUCUGACCAUUGGAUUGGCCUUAGAAGAGAAUCAUCCCAUCGCAUUUGGAAAUGGACAGACAACAUGGAAUAUAAUAACAUUUUUCACACAUUUACAAAACAAUUUGGGAGGAGGCUGGAAAUCAUCUUGACUGAAGACCACCAAUGGCAGCAGUUCAUUUGGGCUUGCUAUCAGAGGAAGUGGAGAAUGUGCCUUCCUGAAUGACAAUGGAGUCAACAGUGGCAGAAUCUACAUGAACAGAAAAUGGAUUUGUAGCAAGCCAAACAAUUAUGUCUACAGUUGCCAGUUAUGUCCCCACUGGGAUACUACCUAGUAGAGCUGUGAGAAGAGGGCCACCAUCCUCCAGACUCCAGAAUGGUGGAAUCAGCAGCAGCUUCCACCAUGCCCCUGGAAAAACUGCAAGUAACAGACCUGCACAUGUAUCCCCUACAUCUAAAAUAAAAGUUGGAAAAAAUGGAACUUUGAUGUUAAGAUGCACUGAUACAAAACUUAAAUUUUGGUCUCCUACAUUAAAACAAUAUGAGUCUCUUAAAAUAUUGAUUUGUUCUUAGUAAGAUUACAAGAGGCUUUGAUUUUUAAUUCUGCAAUGUUUCCUUAACAGCCAUUCUGAAUUACAAACUAAUUCCUAUUUCUGCCACAUUCCUUCCUGAGAACUGUCUAGUCCUGGUUUGGGAUUUAUCUUA